rnacentral:rRNA from 1 species
AGAAUCAACGCUGGCGGCGUGCCUAACACAUGCAAGUCGAACGCGAAAGGGGAGCAAUCCCUGAGUAGAGUGGCAAACGGGUGAGUAACACGUGGGUGACCUGCCUUCGAGUGGGGGAUAACGUCCCGAAAGGGACGCUAAUACCGCAUGACAUCCUGUCUUUGGACAGACGGAGAUCAAAGCUGGGGAUCGCAAGACCUGGCGCUUGAAGAGGGGCCCGCGCCUGAUUAGCUAGUUGGUGAGGUAACGGCUCACCAAGGCUACGAUCAGUA